rnacentral:rRNA from 1 species
UGGGGAAUCUUCCGCAAUGGACGAAAGUCUGACGGAGCAACGCCGCGUGAGUGAUGACGGCCUUCGGGUUGUAAAGCUCUGUUAAUCGGGACGAAAGGCCUUCUUGCGAAUAGUGAGAAGGAUUGACGGUACCGGAAUAGAAAGCCACGGCUAACUACGUGCCAGCAGCCGCGGUAAUACGUAGGUGGCAAGCGUUGUCCGGAAUUAUUGGGCGUAAAGCGCGCGCAGGCGGAUAGGUCAGUCUGUCUUAAAAGUUCGGGGCUUAACCCCGUGAUGGGAUGGAAACUGCCAAUCUAGAGUAUCGGAGAGGAAAGUGGAAUUCCUAGUGUAGCGGUGAAAUGCGUAGAUAUUAGGAAGAUCACCAGUGGCGAAGGCGACUUUCUGGACGAAAACUGACGCUGAGGCGCGAAAGCCAGGGGAGCGAACGGG